GUUGCUGCAAAAUCAGCAACCGGGCGUGGAAACCCGUGUUACAUAUCGGCGACAUCAGACGCCUUAAGCGUCUUUUUU
rnacentral:sRNA from 1 species